rnacentral:snoRNA from 1 species
AAGACCAUACUUUCAGGGAUCAUUUCUAUAGUUCGUUACAAUGCAUAAGGACCCAAGUUUGAGCCUUCAAUCCCCACCUACAGGGAUAAAGCUUUGCAAGUGGU